rnacentral:rRNA from 1 species
AGUGAACGCUGGCGGUAGGCCUAACACAUGCAAGUCGAACGGCAGCACAGUAAGAGCUUGCUCUUACGGGUGGCGAGUGGCGGACGGGUGAGGAAUACAUCGGAAUCUACUUUUUCGUGGGGGAUAACGUAGGGAAACUUACGCUAAUACCGCAUACGACCUACGGGUGAAAGCAGGGGAUCUUCGGACCUUGCGCGAUUGAAUGAGCCGAUGUCGGAUUAGCUAGUUGGCGGGGUAAAGGCCCACCAAGGCGACGAUCCGUAGCUGGUCUGAGAGGAUGAUCAGCCACACUGGAACUGAGACACGGUCCAGACUCCUACGGGAGGAAGCAGUGGGGAAUAUUGGACAAUGGGCGAAAGCCUGAUCCAGCCAUACCGCGUGGGUGAAGAAGGCCUUCGGGUUGUAAAGCCCUGUUGUUGGGAAAGAAAAGCAGCAGGUUAAUACCCCGCUGUUCUGACGGUACCCAAAGAAUAAGCACCGGCUAACUUCGUG